CCUACGUGCGGCAGCAGUGAGGAAUAUUGGUCAAUGGCCGGAAGGCUGAACCAGCCAAGCCGCGUGAAGGACGAAGGUGCCAAGCAUUGUAAACUUCUUUUGUCAAGGGACAAAAUCAGGCUCGAGAGCCUGACCGAGUGUACUUGAAGAAAAAGCAUCGGCUAACUCCGUGCCAGCAGCCGCGGUAAUACGGAGGAUGCGAGCGUUAUCCGGAUUUAUUGGGUUUAAAGGGUGCGCAGGCGGGCUGUUAAGUCAGCGGUAAAGGCCCGGGGCUAAACCCCGGCGCGCCGUUGAAACUGGCAGUCUUGAGAUGUCGAGAGGUAUGCGGAAUGCGCGGUGUAGCGGUGAAAUGCUUAGAUAUUGCGCAGAACUCCGAUUGCGAAGGCAGCAUGCCGGCGGCGAUCUGACGCUGAGGCACGAAAGCGUGGGUAUCGAACAGGAUUAGAUACCCGAGUAGUC
rnacentral:rRNA from 1 species